AUUGAACGCUGGCGGCAGGCUUAACACAUGCAAGUCGAGCGGCAACAGAGAGAAGCUUGCUUCUCUGCUGACGAGCGGCGGACGGGUGAGUAAUGCCUAGGAAUCUGCCUAGUAGUGGGGGAUAACUUGCCGAAAGGUAAGCUAAUACCGCAUACGUCCUGCGGGAGAAAGGAGGGGACCUUAGGGCCUUUCGCUAUUAGAUGAGCCUAGGUCGGAUUAGUUAGUUGGAGAGGUAAUGGCUCACCAAGACCGCGAUCCGUAACUGGUCUGAGAGGAUGAUCAGGCAAACGGGAACUGAGACACUGUCCAGACUCCGACGGGAGGCAGCAGUGGGGAAUAUUGGGCAAUGGAGGGAACCCUGAUCCAGCCAUGCCGCGUGUGUGAAGAAGGUCUUAGGAUUGUAAAGCACUUUAAGUUGGGAGGAAGUGCAGUUAACUAAUAUUUGACUGUUUUGACGUUACCGACAGAAUAAGCACCGGCUAACUUCGUGCCAGCCGCCGCCGUAA
rnacentral:rRNA from 1 species